UACAGAGGUCUCAAGCGUUGUUCGGAUUCAUUGGGCGUAAAGGGCGCGUAGGCGGCGGGGUAAGUCGGGUGUGAAAUCUCAGGGCUCAACCCUGAAACUGCACUCGAUACUGCUCUGCUUGAGGACUGGAGAGGAGACUGGAAUUCACGGUGUAGCAGUGAAAUGCGUAGAGAUCGUGAGGAAGAUCAGUGGCGAAGGCGGGUCUCUGGACAGCUCCUGACGCUGAGGCGCGAAGGCCAGGGGAGCAAACGGG
rnacentral:rRNA from 1 species